rnacentral:rRNA from 1 species
GACGAACGCUGGCGGCGUGCGUAAUACAUGCAAGUCGAGCGGGCUCGGAUUUCGGUCCGAGUUAGCGGCGGACGGGUGAGUAACGCGUGAGUGACCUAGCCUGUUGGUGGGGGAUAACUGCCCGAAAGGGUGGCUAAUCCCGCAUGAUCCCUUUGGGUCAAUCUAAAGGGGAAAGCUUCGCAAGAGGCGCCGGAGGGGGGGCUUGCGUCCCAUUAGGUGGUUGGUGGGGUAGUGGCCUACCAAGCCGAUGAUGGGUAGCUGGUCUGAGAGGAUGGCC